rnacentral:rRNA from 1 species
GACGAACGCUGGCGGCGUGCUUAACACAUGCAAGUCGAACGGAAAGGCCCUGCUUUUGUGGGGUGCUCGAGUGGCGAACGGGUGAGUAACACGUGAGUAACCUGCCCUUGACUUUGGGAUAACUUCAGGAAACUGGGGCUAAUACCGGAUAGGAGCUCCUGCUGCAUGGUGGGGGUUGGAAAGUUUCGGCGGUUGGGGAUGGACUCGCGGCUUAUCAGCUUGUUGGUGGGGUAGUGGCUUACCAAGGCUUUGACGGGUAGCCGGCCUGAGAGGGUGACCGGCCACAUUGGGACUGAGAUACGGCGCAGACGCCUACGGGAGGCAGCAGUGGGGAAUAUUGCACAAUGGGCGGAAGCCUGAUGCAGCAACGCCGCGUGCGGGAUGACGGCCUUCGGGUUGUAAACCGCUUUCGCCUGUGACGAAGCGGGAGUGACGGUAAUGGGUAAAGAAGCACCGGCUAACUACGUG